GACGAACGCUGGCGGCGUGCCUAGUACAUGCAAGUAGAACGCACAGUUUAUACCGUAGCUUGCUACACCAUAGACUGUGAGUUGCGAACGGGUGAGUAACGCGUAGGUAACCUGCCUGGUAGCGGGGGAUAACUAUUGGAAACGAUAGCUAAUACCGCAUAAUAUUAAUUAUUGCAUGAUAAUUAAUUGAAAGGUGCAAUUGCACCACUACCAGAUGGACCUGCGUUGUAUUAGCUAGUAGGUGAGGUAACGGCUCACCUAGGCGACGAUACAUAGCCGACCUGAGAGGGUGAUCGGCCACACUGGGACUGAGACACGGCCCAGACUCCUACGGGAGGCAGCAGUAGGGAAUCUUCGGCAAUGGACGAAAGUCUGACCGAGCAACGCCGCGUGAGUGAAGAAGGUUUUCGGAUCGUAAAGCUCUGUUGUAAGAGAAGAACGGGUGUGAGAGUGGAAAGUUCACACUGUGACGGUAUCUUACCAGAAAGGGACGGCUAACUACGUG
rnacentral:rRNA from 1 species